rnacentral:misc_RNA from 1 species
GUAGGUGAACCUGCGGAAGGAUCAUUACCACAAAACAAAAUUAUUAUUAUAAUUUGAGAACGGUUUGUUUGGAUUAUUUUUGAACUUGUCUGAGUUUGGUUUGUAGAUUUGAGGGGAAAUACAAUAAAAACUAUAUGACCUUGUAUAGAUAUUGUAUUUUUUCUCAAAACUAGGGUGGAUUACAAAUAUCGCUUUGACAACCAACAAAAUAAUCUAACAUUCCCAACACGAUCUUGUGUUUUUGACAUUG